rnacentral:rRNA from 1 species
GAUGAACGCUGGCGGCGUGCCUAAUACAUGCAAGUCGAGCGAACAGACGAGGAGCUUGCUCCUCUGACGUUAGCGGCGGACGGGUGAGUAACACGUGGAUAACCUACCUAUAAGACUGGGAUAACUUCGGGAAACCGGAGCUAAUACCGGAUAAUAUAUUGAACCGCAUGGUUCAAUAGUGAAAGACGGUUUUGCUGUCACUUAUAGAUGGAUCCGCGCCGCAUUAGCUAGUUGGUAAGGUAACGGCUUACCAAGGCAACGAUGCGUAGCCGACCUGAGAGGGUCAUCCGCCACACUGGAACUGAGACACGGUCCAGACUCCUACGGGAGGCAGCAGUAGGGAAUCUUCCGCAAUGGGCGACAGCCUGACGGAGCAACGCCGCGUGAGUGAUGAAGGUCUUCGGAUCGUAAAACUCUGUUAUUAGGGAAGAACAAAUGUGUAAGUAACUAUGCACGUCUUGACGGUACCUAAUCAGAAAGCCACGGCUAACUACGUG